UACGUAGGGCGCAAGCGUUAUCCGGAAUUAUUGGGCGUAAAGAGCGUGUAGGCGGCCAGAUAAGUCCGCUGUGAAAACUCGAGGCUCAACUUCGAGCUGUCGGCGGAAACUAUCUGGCUAGAGUCCGGAAGAGGAGAGUGGAAUUCCUGGUGUAGCGGUGAAAUGCGCAGAUAUCAGGAGGAACACCGGUGGCGAAGGCGGUGAUCUGGGCCGACACUGACGCUGUAGAGCGAAAGCGUGGGGAGCGAACAGG
rnacentral:rRNA from 1 species